UAGAAAAAGAGCUAAAUUUUAUGGGGCUCUGGCUCUCCAUGUCCAUGGAGCUCCUCCUUGCAAGCUCUUCUACUUCUCCUGGUUUAUCUUCUCAUUUCACUAUCUCUAACAUUAAUAGAAACCCAACCAUCUCACAGGUCCGGACAUGGAAAUCUCUACCUGUGAGGACCUUAGAAGCUCGAUUUCAGGGUUUCUUACUGUGUAUAAGGACAAAUACAAGUAACAGUCUAAGAAGAUGCAGUAACUCUAAUGAAAGUUUGAAAAAAAGGUUCUUGCUUCAUCGUGUAUGCAAGCUGAACAAGAGCAUUUUUUCUCUGAGUGGAUGGUUUUGCAUGAAAUAUACUAGCAGUCACAAAGUGAUGAGUUGUUCGGAGAAAAUCAGGCAACGUGUUUCUGUUCUUUUUGUCCAGUUAGUUGUUGCAGUGCUGUUUGUUACAUCAGUUUCUGUUGCUGUUAGAGAGACAUCAUCUUGGGCUCUCAGUGAAGAGAAUCAACUCUUCUUAGAGGCAUGGAGAACAAUUGAUCGUGCAUAUAUUGACAAAACGUUCAAUGGACAAAGUUGGUUUCGGUACCGAGAAAAUGCCCUGCGAAAUGAACCAAUGAACAACCGAGAAGAGACGUACAUGGCCAUAAGGAAGAUGCUUGCCACAUUGGAUGAUCCUUUUACUCGGUUCUUGGAGCCUGAAAAGUUUAACAGUUUGCGGUCUGGAACUCGAGGGGCUCUUACAGGUGUUGGCCUGUCGAUAGGCUACCCAACAGGUUCUGAUAAAUUAGCUGAGGGACUUGUUGUUAUUUCAGCUACUCCAGGAGGUCCGGCAAAUAGGGCUGGAAUUCUGUCUGGAGAUGUUAUUCUGGCAAUAGACGAUACAAGCACGGAAAGCAUGGGUAUCUAUGAUGCAGCAGAGAGGUUGCAGGGACCGGAAGGAAGCUCAGUGGAAUUGACCAUACGCAGUGGACCUGAAAUAAAGCAUCUAGCUUUGAGGAGAGAGAGAGUGUCACUGAAUCCAGUGAAGUCGAGAAUGUGUGAGAUUCCUGGUUCAGGGAAGGAUUCACCUAGGAUUGGUUAUAUAAAACUAACAUCGUUCAACCAAAAUGCUUCUGGGGCUGUCAGGGAAGCAAUUGAUACGUUAAGGAGUAAUAGUGUUAGUGCAUUUGUAUUAGACCUUCGAGAUAAUAGUGGUGGUCUUUUCCCAGAAGGAAUCGAGAUUGCCAAGAUUUGUAAGCUUGCCUUGCAACUCGUGACUUUCUUCUCUUCUGGAGAGUGCAUCAGCUACAAUAUUAUCCUUACCUUUCUUAUAUUGGAUGACAAAGUCAAACCCCAUCAACUUGAAGAGCCAUCUUUGUUGGGCUGUUGUGGUUAUUCGUUGGGCCCAUAAGUGCUUUAAGCUUUGGUGGUAUGUCCGAACAAUGAAUUGUCUUCCAAGGAGAUAAGGCCUCCAUUUCUGAAUUGCUAAUACCAAGGCUAGGAUUUCUUUUUCAUAAGUAGACAACAAAAGGUGCUUCCCUUGGAGUGCAUGACUACAAUAAGCUAUUGGUUGAUCUUGUUUCAGAACUGCCCCAACUCCAGAGCCCGAUGCAUCACACUCUAUAAUAAACUCCCUUGAAAAAUCAGGUAGUGCAAGAACAGGGGCACUAGUCAUAGCCCCCUUCAAUUUUUCGAAGCCCUCUUCUGCCGCAGGUGACCAUUUGAACCCUUCCUUUUUAAGCAUUUUGGUCAGCGGGUUGGCUAUUUUACCGAAGUUCUGGACAAAUUUUCGGUAGUAGCCACAUAACCCCAAAAACCCUUUCAAUGCUUUUUGAGUGACAGGUUUGGGCCAUUGCAACACUGCUUCAAUCUUUUCUGGAUCUACAGCCACUCCCACGUCAGAGAUUAUAUGACCAAGGUUAGAUAAAGGUGUGAUUGUGUAUAUUUGCGAUAAUCGUGGUGUUCUAGAUAUAUAUGACACAGAUGGAAGUGAUGCAUUAGCAGCUUCAGAGCCCCUAGCAGUGCUGGUUAACAAGGGAACUGCAAGUGC